AACGAACGCUGGCGGCAUGCCUAACACAUGCAAGUCGAACGAGACCUUCGGGUCUAGUGGCGCACGUGUGCGUAACGCGUGGUAAUCUGCCCUUGGGUUCGGAAUAACAGUGAUAAAUUACUGCUAAUACCGGAUGAUGUCUUCGGACCAAAGAUUUAUCGCCCAGGGAUGAGCCCGCGUAGGAUUAGCUAGUUGGUGGGGUAAUGGCCUACCAAGGCGACGAUCCUUAGCUGGUCUGAGAGGAUGAUCAGCCACACUGGGACUGAGACACGGACCAGACUCGUACGCGAGGGAGCAGAGGGGAAUAUUGGACAAGGGGGGCAAGUCUGACACAGCAAUGCCGCGUGAGUGAUGAAGGCCUUAGGGUUGUAAAGCUCUUUUACACGGGAUGAUAAUGACAGUACCGGGAGAAUAAGCUCCGGCUAACUACGUG
rnacentral:rRNA from 1 species